AGCAGCCAUUGCGGUAAUUCCAGCUCCAAUAGCGUAUAUUAAAGUUGCUGCGGUUAAAAAGCUCGUAGUUGAAUUUCGGAAUUGAUGCAUCGGUCGUGCCUUAAGGGGCAUGAACUGGUGUAGCCAAUUUCUCACCUUCUGGUGAAUUGUUGAUGUUCUUAAUGGGUGUCUCAAUGAACUAGAAUUUUUACUUUGAAAAAAUUAGAGUGUUUAAAGCAGGCAUUAAUUUGCUUGAAUACAUUAGCAUGGAAUAAUAAAAUAGGACAGUGGUUCCGUUUUGUUGGUUUCUAGGAUCACGUAAUGAUUAAUAGGGACAGUUGGGGGCAUUAGUAUUCAAUUGUCAGAGGUGAAAUUCUUGGAUUUAUUGAAGACUAACUAUUGCGAAAGCAUUUGCCAAGGAUGUUUUCAUUAAUCAAGAACGAAAGUUAGGGGAUCAAAGACGAUUAAGUACGUCGUAGUCCUAACCAUAAACUAUACCGACUAGGAAUCAGACGAUGUUAAUUUUUUAAUGACUCGUUUGGUACCUUACG
rnacentral:rRNA from 1 species